rnacentral:lncRNA from 1 species
AAAAGUUUUGCCACGUAUGAUACCCGGUCAGCAGCCCCGAUGAAGCAGGACGCGCCGCGUGCCAAUGGACGCUGACACAGUGUCACGCGGGCGAUCCGUAUGUCCGCGAUCGAAUGACCCAGAUCUGUUCCCGCGCGCACGGACGACCUAUAUGCAUUCCCUCCCAAACGCGAUCGGAUGGCCAGAUUUAAACACGAUCGAUGGUCCAGAUUAGAUCACGAUGAACGGUUCAGAUUUACUCCCUAUUUAAUCACGAUCGUACGGUCCAUAUCAAACGUGAUGGACGGUUCAGAUCAAACGCGAUAGUCGAAAACUGCAGGCAAAGUCCGGCAGCGCCGCCAUGGGGAAUUUCACAAAACGCCUCUGAUGAGACCCUUCCCGAUUCCUGUUCUGUAUAAUUUUUCCACCGUUGUGAUUACCAUUUCCUUCUUUAUAGGUUGACCAGAGUCAAACACCCAAUCGUAACAUGAAUCGGAGGAGUCACCGCACCGGAGAGCCCUGCUGUCGGUGAGUUUCGAUUUUUUGUAUUUUUUCGGCUAACCGAGAUCCUUUAACGUGUUUUCUAACAGGGAUUGAUGUAAAAUCGACCGAAAAUAGCCAACCCGAGGUGAACUGCUGCCGUGCCAAAAUUUUGGAAUUGACCAUAGUGGGCCCUGACACUGUUUUUGGAUUUUUUUU